rnacentral:rRNA from 1 species
UGGGGAAUCUUGGACAAUGGGGGCAACCCUGAUCCAGCCAUGCCGCGUGAGUGAUGAAGGCCUUAGGGUCGUAAAGCUCUUUCGCCUGUGAAGAUAAUGACGGUAGCAGGUAAAGAAACCCCGGCUAACUCCGUGCCAGCAGCCGCGGUAAUACGGAGGGGGCAAGCGUUGUUCGGAAUUACUGGGCGUAAAGGGCGUGUAGGCGGUCUAAUCAGUCAGAGGUGAAAGCCCUGGGCUCAACCCAGGAAUUGCCUUUGAUACUGUUAGACUAGAGUUCGGGAGAGGGUAGUGGAAUUCCCAGUGUAGAGGUGAAAUUCGUAGAUAUUGGGAAGAACACCAGUGGCGAAGGCGGCUACCUGGACCGAUACUGACGCUGAGGUGCGAAAGCGUGGGGAAGCAAACGAGGAUUAGAUACCCUGGUAGUCCACACCGUAAACGAUGAAUGCCAGUCGUCGGGUAGCAUGCUAUUCGGUGACACACCUAACGGAUUAAGCAUUCCGCCUGGGGAGUACGGUCGCAGA